AAGAAAUUAUCAAUUAACAAGUUAACAGUGAACUCAUUACACUCGGUUAACAGUUUAUUCAUUGAAAUACUUGACAAAGUUUGACUGUAGUAUCUUUACAGGUGGAAUGCCAUUUGGUUCACGACUUCAGCUGUAUCGUUUGUAGUUUGUAUGAUAGGAACAACGAUCUUCACAGAUUCCAGACGAGGGCAAUUAUCGUACAGAGCAUGGCUUCCCUACGAUUAUUCCUCUCCUACUUUAUUUACGAUCACUCUCGUUUUUCAAGCUUCAAGUAUUACACUCUGCGCGUUGAUAAGCAUUUGCUGUGAUUGCUUAUUCAGCGGCUUGAUGACCCACACGCGCUGUGUUUUAGAGAUACUUGAACUCCGGUUGAAAAAUAUUAUAGAAUAUAGAGCCGAUUCAAUGAAACAGUGUGUUCGACUUCAUAAACAUAUAUACAAAUUCGCGGCGAUGGUGAAUGAAGAAUUUAAAGUAAUUAUGUUUAUUCAGUUUUUGGUGAGCAUGUUGGCUUUAUGCAGCGCACUUUAUCGUUUCACGCAAGGAAAACUGGGCUCAAGACUUAUCGAAACUGUGUUUUACACGAGCUGUGUCCUAAUUCAGGCGUUGUACUACUGUUGGUAUGGGAACGAAGUCAAAGAAAAGAGUCUCAGUGUUCCUGAGAUGGUAAUUGAUAGUAACUGGACAGUUUUGGAUAACGACUCGAAGAAGAUUCUUCUAAUGAUUAUGAAACGAGCUACGAUCCCUAUAGAGUUCAAUAGUUUUUAUAUUGCUUCGAUGGACCUCCCGACUUUUAUGACUACUGCUUAUUCGGCUUAUAAUGUUCUACAACAAGGACAGGGAUAGUACGACCAAGAUAUUUUCUCUCUAUUCUCAGCAAAAUAUCGUUCAAUCUUCCAGGACGAAGUAAUUGAAGAGAAUGGGAAGGCACGAGAAGAUAAUGGAAAUUAUUGACAUUUAAAAACUGUACUAGUGUAUAUAGACUCCAAUAGAACUUUUCAUCAGCUUCUAGAAUUUUUCUAAUGCUGGAAUGCAAAGAAAAACGACGCAAGGAACGUAACCUUCAUCAUUACCCUUAAACACUAUUAAUAAUUAAUUGAUGAAGCCGCAUCCCG